rnacentral:rRNA from 1 species
GAUGAACGCUGGCGGCGUGCCUAAUACAUGCAAGUCGAGCGAAUGGAUUAAGAGCUUGCUCUUAUGAAGUUAGCGGCGGACGGGUGAGUAACACGUGGGUAACCUGCCCAUAAGACUGGGAUAACUCCGGGAAACCGGGGCUAAUACCGGAUAACAUUUUGAACCGCAUGGUUCGAAAUUGAAAGGCGGCUUCGGCUGUCACUUAUGGAUGGACCCGCGUCGCAUUAGCUAGUUGGUGAGGUAACGGCUCACCAAGGCAACGAUGCGUAGCCGACCUGAGAGGGUGAUCGGCCACACUGGGACUGAGACACGGCCCAGACUCCUGAGGGAGGCAGCAGUAGGGAAUCUUCCGCAAUGGACGAAAGUCUGACGGAGCAACGCCGCGUGAGUGAUGAAGGCUUUCGGGUCGUAAAACUCUGUUGUUAGGGAAGAACAAGUGCUAGUUGAAUAAGCUGACACCUUGAUGGUACCUAACCAGAAAGCCACGGCUAACUACGUGCCAGCCGCCGCAGUAA